AGUUUAUUUGUUUUAUGUCAAUAUAUUUCAUGUCUUUAUGAUGUACAGCCUUACAAUGAUAUUAUGUCGUUUUUAUAUUAUAUAUUAUAAUACAGGGUGGCCCAUAAGUCCUUUGAAAAGUAAAAUUUGAAUAAAACGAACAGGGCGCGCGUGAGCGGUGCAGGGGAAGCGGGGGGAGUAACUUCGGUUUCUGGGAAUUUAGUCGCGAUGGAGCGUUUUACCGGAGCGGACCGUGCGUUUUGUGUGCGCGAGUUUUAUAAAAACGACAAUUCGGCAACCGUUGCGCGGCGUAAAUUACGAGAACACAAAGGUUUACACAACUUUGACGACACUCCAACUCUUCAAACGAUUAAGAACUGGGUUGCUAAGUUCGAGGAGACCGGUUCGACGUUAGAUAAACCGCGGUUGGGUCGCCCAAGGACGUCACGUACGGAACAGUCUAUUCGCGAAAAUCCGACACAGUCAACUCGUAAGCGCGCCAGAGCAUUAAACGUAUCCAGGACAUCGUUACAACGGAUUUUGAAGAAAGAUUUACAUAUGCACCCUUACAAAAUUCAGUUGGUUCAAGAAUUAAAGGAAACUGACGGUAUUCAAAGACAAAAUUAUGCGAAUGAAAUGUUGCAUCGGUUUACUUCCUUCAAUAACAUAAUGUUCUCUGACGAGGCUCAUUUCCAUCUUAACGGGCAUGUUAGUAAACAAAAUUGCCGCUAUUGGAGCCCCAUCAAUCCAAAACUUAAGCAUCAGAAGCCCUUACAUAGUCCGAAAGUGACUGUUUGGGUCGCUAUGUCAGCCCAUGGUAUCCUAGGGCCUUACUUCUUUGAGGAUGGCAGAGGGCGCGCAGUUACUGUUACGUCGGAGCGAUAUGUGGCUAUGAUCGAAGAGUUUUUCAUACCAGAAUUGCAAAACUUUUCAGGCUUUAAUGCCAGGACGUGGUUUCAACAGGAUGGGGCCACUUCUCACACCUCUAACACUGCUAUGCCCGUUAUCCGUCAACUUUUUCCUGGCAAAGUUAUCUCUAAGAGAGGAGACAUUUCCUGGCCUCCACGUAGUCCAGAUCUGACCCCGAUGGAUUUUUUUUUGUGGGGCUACCUUAAGGCUAAAGUAAGUAUACGACACAAACCCGCGGUCAAUUGAGGCCCUCAAGAAAACAUCCGCAGAGAAAUGACAAGCAUUUCAGCAGUGACGUGCCGCGCAGUCAUCGACAAUUUUAGACGUCGUUUGCAAGAGUGCCGUGAUCGCAACGGAUUACAUUUAGGAGAUGUUAUUUUCAAAAAAUAAUUCCCGUUUUUUAAGCUUUUUAUGUAAAUAAAAAUUUAAUUCAUAAUGUAAUUAGUUUUAUUUUAAUAAUUUUUUUUUCAUAUCAAAGGACUUAUGGGCCACCCUGUAGAUCCUUUAAUAUCAACCUUCGACAAAUAAUAUUUUGACCCGUUCUGUUACAGUACCCUCUACAUCGACAUCGAAUCCUAAUCAGACUUCUCCAAAGAGAAGAAGAUUUUCUAGUCCUACACCAUUAGUGUCACCAAGAAAACCUCAAGACAGAGAAGCUGUCCCAGUGACACCUCGGAAGCGAAGACGAAUAAAGAAACUUAAAUCAAGUCGUCUUCUAAUAAAAAACCUCAAAUAGAAAGUUAAUAAAAUAGAUAAAAUAACAUCACCUGUCUUAAAAAGUUUGAUAGAAUCUUCUAUUGCUAACCAAAGUCACGAACCUAAAGGCAAAUGUUGGACUAAAUUAAAUAAAACCGUAGCUUUAGCUAUUUACAAAAAGUCACCUAAAGCGUACAGAUAUUUGUCCCAACUUUUACCAAUGCCUAGUAUCAGAACACUUCAAACAGUAUUAGAAAAUAUGAAAAUGGAUACCGGCAUCGAUUCCAUGAGUAUGCAUCAACUAAAAAAAAGCUGAAAGUUUAUCGGACAAAGAUAAAACUUGUGUUAUUCUUUUUGACGAAAUAGCACUCAAAAAAAGGCUAAUAUAUAAUGUUGCCACGGAUAAAAUAGAUGGUUAUGAGGACCUAGGCGAUGAUAAACGAUCUGAAAAAAUUGCUGAUCACGCAUUAGUUAUCAUGCUUCAAGGGGUUCAUAAAAGUAUGAAACAGCCCAUUGCACACUAUUUCGUUAAGGGCACUAUAGCAACCGAUAAAUUAGCUAUUAUAAUAAAAGAUACAAUUCGAGCUGUAACAGAAGCUGGUUAUGAGGUAAUAGCUACGGUUUGCGAUCAGGGACCAACGAACAUGGGUUCAUUAAAUUUGCUAAAAACUUGGGGAAAUUCUGCGGAACCACAUUAUUUUUUUCUUGAUGGAAAAAAAGUUUUUAUAAUAUAUGACGUGCCACAUCUUUUUAAAUCAAAACGAAAUAAUUUUAUGCAGGGCGGUGAACUGGUAAUGGACAAUAAAAAAGGGAAAUGGGCUCAUUUGAUCAAACUUGAAGAAAGAAAUAGAAUCAGUCUCCAUUUCAAAAAAAUUACUAAAUUACAUGUGAACCCCAGAUUUCGAGCCAAAAUGAGAGUUAAGCUAGCUGCUCAAAUUUUGAGUAAUACUGUUGCAGCUAUACUAAAACUACAAGCUGAUAGUGUUGAAAACCAAGGAGAAAGACCGGAAAUACUUCAAACAGCACACAUAGUCGAAGAACUUGAUCAAUUAUUUGAUUGUACAAAUGGGCCAGCUUCUAAAAGCGAUAUAAAAAGAAAUAUUCGGCAAAAUGUCAGUAAAAAUAGUUUCCAUCAUAGGAGAUGGAUUGAAUUCAAAAGUAAAAUUAAAACCCUUCAUUUCUUAAAAUCGGACAGUCAACUGAGAUUGAGAAACAUUAGAUGUGUAAAUGGAUAUUUAAUCACAUUGUCAUCUCUACAAGAUAUUUGGCACUAUUUACAUUUAGUGAAAAAAUUCAAAUAUAUGAACCUGCGUCAAUUUAACCAGGAUGCAUUGGAAAAUUUAUUCGGCCAAAUACGUCAACAUUGUCCUACUAAUAGAAAUCCAACGUGCCAUCAUUUCACUUGUGCAUUGAAGUCUGCGAUUCUAACACGUCUCAGUGCACCACUAAGCAGAGGGAGCAACUGCCAAAGAGAUAACAAUGAAAUCAUUAUAGACUUUCAGGAAAUUGUUUUUCCAAAUAAAAAAUACCAGCCUGUGAAACAGACAGAGAGCGCAGCUAGUGAAGAUUACGACAACAAAAUCGAUGAUUUUCAAGAUGUUCCUGUUUUGCACUUAGCUGAUAAUAUUGAGCAACAAAAUUACUUGGCAGAUAUAGAAGAAAGCGGCUAUUUAGCUUCUGUGCUUCUGAAAGGUGUGGACUGUCUAAAAUGUAUAGUUGCCAUGAAGGUUUCCAACCCGCAACCAAAUACAAUAUAUAAUUAUAUUGCUUUGCGAGAGUGGUGGACAGACAAAACCUCAUUAACAUACCCUAGUCUUCAGUUAUGUCAGGCAAUAGACGAUGCGACAAGUAUUUUUGAUGAAAAGGUGAAAUCAAACAUCUUCGCAAAAAAUAUAUGCAGCUACUCUAAAAUAGAAAUACUUGCAAAUAUUGAUUUGUCGUGGAUCUGUGAAGAACACAAAAAUGUAAUGAUAGAAAAAUUAUUGCAACGCGUAAGCCUACUUUUAAUAAGAAAUCACUGUAACUUAAUAAAUCAGUCAUUUGCGCUCAGUGAAGAGGCCUCUGCAGAUGCGAUAAAGAAGGCGCAACAACAAGGCGUUGCAAAAUAAAUAUAAUUAAUACAGUUUUGCUUAUGUAAAAUAUAUCCCUAAGUCUUGCGUGUCUGAACUAGGUUAUCCUGCGUUUCAAAUGAAUGUAUCAUCAUCUGCCUAGCCAUUUCCCAACUACGGUGGGGCCGGCUGCCAGUCUUAACGGGAUGCAGUUGAAUACUAGUAUUUGUAGUAAUUCAAAUGUCAAUGUAUACGCUUUUAUAAUAAACUUUCAAACCACGUUCAAGAUCUAAGCCCUAAUAAAUUCAAAUCAUACAUUAAGCGUAAGUUGUACCAGAAAGCUUAUUACAGUUAAUGAUUGUAUUGUGGAUAAGAAGGCUUGGGGCUACGCUGCUCUAAUUUUGAUUUACAUACUUAUUUUUUAUUUUAUUUUAUAGUCUUCAUAUGAUCUGACCAAGAUUAUUACUGGACUUCUAAAGAUAUUGUGACUUCUAAGUUUGACAGAGUUCUUUCUUCUCAGUGUAGUCAGAUAGGAAACGCCGACUACAUCUAGUUCUAAAAAAAUAUUAUUGACGCGUAAUUGUUUGUAAAACCUAUCUAAAAAAAUAAAAUUAUUAAUAACAUGGGUAAUUGUUUAAUUCCUUGUAAAUAAAUAAGUUUUAAAACAAUCUGAGUUUAAAUAAA